rnacentral:rRNA from 1 species
CCUACGGGAGGCAGCAGUGAGGAAUAUUGGUCAAUGGGCGUAAGCCUGAACCAGCCAAGUCGCGUGAGGGAUGAAGGUUCUAUGGAUCGUAAACCUCUUUUAUAAGGGAAUAAAGUGUGGGACGUGUCCUAUUUUGUAUGUACCUUAUGAAUAAGGAUCGGCUAACCCCGUGCCAGCAGCCGAGGUAAUACGGAGUAUCCGAGCUUUAUCCGGAUUUAUUGGGUUUAAAGGGUGCGUAGGCGGCCUUUUAAGUCAGCGGUGAAAGUCUGUGGCUCAACCAUAGAAUUGCCGUUGAAACUGGGGGGCUUGAGUAUGUUUGAGGCAGGCGGAAUGCGUGGUGUAGCGGUGAAAUGCGUAGAUAUCACGCAGAACCCCGAUUGCGAAGGCAGCCUGCCAAGCCAUGACUGACGCUGAUGCACGAAAGCGUGGGGAUCAAACAGGAUUAGAUACCCCUGUAGUC